UACGUAGGGUGCAAGCGUUAAUCGGAAUUACUGGGCGUAAAGCGUGCGCAGGCGGUUCGUUGUGUCGGCGGGGAAAGCCCCGGGCUUAACCUGGGAAUGGCCGUCGAAACUGGCGAACUGGAGUGUGGCAGAGGGGGGUGGAAUUCCGCGUGUAGCAGUGAAAUGCGUAGAGAUGCGGAGGAACACCGAUGGCGAAGGCAGCCCCCUGGGCUGACACUGACGCUCAGGCACGAAAGCGUGGGGAGCAAACAGG
rnacentral:rRNA from 1 species